AAAUAACAAUACCGGGCUCUUUCGAGUCCUGUAAUUGGAAUGAGUACAAUUUAAAUCCCUUAACGAGGAUCAAUUGGAGGGCAAGUCUGGUGCCAGCAGCCGCGGUAAUUCCAGCUCCAAUAGCGUAUAUUAAAGUUGUUGCAGUUAAAAAGCUCGUAGUUGGAUUUCUGAGGGGAGCGACCGGUCGGCGCCCUAGUGGCGUGUGCACUGUUUGUCGGCUUCUUUCAUCCUGGUCGAGAAGGUCUCUGCUCUUUAUUGGGUGGGGUUCGGAUCGGCCACAUUUACUGUGAAAAAAUUAGAGUGUUUAAAGCAGGCGAUCGCUGUGAAUACAUUAGCAUGGAAUAAUAAGAUAGGACUUUGGGUACUAUUUUGUUGGUUUGCGCACCAAGGUAAUGAUUAAUAGGGAUAGUUGGGGGUAUUCAUAUUCAAUUGUCAGAAGUGAAAUUCUUGGAUUUAUGGAAGAUGAACUUAUGCCGAAGCAUUUACCAAGGAUGUUUUCAUUAAUCAAGAACCAAAGUUAGGGGAUCGAAGAUGAUAGAUACCAUCGUAGUCUUAACCAUAAACUAUGCCGACUCGGGAUUGGGCGUUGUUGUUUUGAUGACUCGCUCAGCACCGUAUGAGAAAUCAAAGUCUUUGGGUUCCGGGGGGAGUAUGGUC
rnacentral:rRNA from 1 species